rnacentral:rRNA from 1 species
CUACGGGAGGCAGCAGUGGGGAAUAUUGCACAAUGGAGGAAACUCUGAUGCAGCGACGCCGCGUGAACGAUGAAGGCUUUCGGGUCGUAAAGUUCUGUCCUAGGGGACGAUAAUGACGGUACCCUAGGAGGAAGCCCCGGCUAACUACGUGCCAGCAGCCGCGGUAAUA